GCCAGGCUCAGUGGCGUAAGCCUGUAAUCCCAGGGGCUUGGGAGGCUGAGGCAGGAGGACGGCAAGUUCAAAGCCAGUCUCAG
rnacentral:sRNA from 1 species